GUUUUUAACGUGAACUAUUUUGAAUUCAGUUAUGUAACAUAUUCAUCACAAAGGACAACGACAUCAGGUUAGGUGAUUUUGGAUUAGGAAAAUUGCUAGAUGCAGAAGGCCUUGCUUCCUCGGUAUCUGGCACACCAAC